ensembl:lncRNA
GUGUAUCAUCAGGCUAGCUGGCUGGUCUAUGGUCUAAGCUGGAUUUGCUCAGUGAAUAGGUCAUACACUUGCUAAUCUUGGCAAUGUUCUCACAGCAAUCUGUUCAGUGAUCUAAGAGAAUUCACCCACUGGCAGACAAGGAAAGAGAAAUCCACACUUGAACCUCACGUUUUGAUGUAUUACUUAUGGAGUGUUCCUGUGACCUGUUAGCCACUGGAGUGUGUUCUCAGCAAAUGAUUAUAGACACCUAAUCCCUCACAUUUGACAACCUGUGUCGUAAGAGCCUUACCAUAUUUCAAUCCUGCAGAGGUGUUGCUCUGCAGAGGAGGGAGGGUCAUGAAGGAAAACGUCCCCAGCAUGUCUUCAGACUGUGUGUGAGGAAGUGGGAAGAGCCCAUAGCUGCACAUUGCCCAUUUUUCAGAGUGAAGAUUAAAGGUUUUGUUGUGUCUGUAUGGGCAUCUCCACAUCUGAUAAUAUACCAUAUGACUAUCUAACUUUCCUAUUUGCCUUAUUUGGCCUAAAUUGUUGCUUGGCUGAAGUGUUCAAUCCUAGUCCCUCAAACAUGCCUAUGUUACCAUGUCCCUUUCUCUUGCCUUUGUCAAAGCUUAACAUAUUCUCAAGAAAGGGAUCAGAAUGUCUGGGACUCUAUAUUUUACCUAUACUGAGUGGCAGUUAUAACUCAUUACCAUACUCACACUCUUCUGUCUGAAAGACAGGCCUGCUUUUCUUAGUUAUAAAAUUUGUCCCAUUUUUUUGAUCUCCAAGUCUAGUGGAUGAGCUAUCUCAACUGUGCAUAGAGUAUUUGGCUAUGCUGGCUCCUAACAAGAUGCCAAGUGGUUCACUUGCUUUAUUACUCUUUCCAAAUUGAACAGCCAGCUCAGAGAGAUACACUGUGGCAUCUGCGGAGUGGACAAAAAUAGACAAUCAGUAAUUAGUUAAUAGACAACAAUUUUAGAAAUAAGAAACAAAAACUGAACAUUUUACAUGUGUUUAGAGUCCAACAUUUCUCCAUUUAGCUAAUUUACAUUGAGUCUCUGAUUUUUAUGAAGAUACUAUCUAAGUAUUUAUAAAUUAAGAGGAGGCCUAGUCCAUCAAAACUUUAUAGGCCUCCAUGGGCAGACCAUUGUUACUGAGUGGCUUUUAUAAGUCAGGUACAGACAUGUUGGAGUAACUGUACCAUCUUAUCAGCAUCUACAGUAAGCAACAUUAAACUCUAGGAUAUAAGCUGUAUCAUUUUUUUUUUUUUGUUCCUCACAGAGCUUUGUGUAAACCAUAUAAUUUUUCUUAGGUUCUGGGUUCACAUCCAUAAAGAUAGAAAACAACUCCAAGAAUCAUUUUGGUCCUGACUGUUUUUCACUAGGUUCUUUAAGAAAAGCUUAGCAUCUCUCUGAUAGAAUGAAAUGGUUUUGAAAUCUAGACAAAUAGAUUCAACACUUAAAAGCAAAUCAUAUUCUGCCUUUCAGGGCCAGGACUACCUUCCUUCAUCCCCAUGUAUCUGGGAAGCUAAUCCUUGAUGUAAACACAUCUGUCAUGCACCAAUAAUGUUCUCAACAAAUUUCCAUGCUAUCUAUGGGGCCUGAGAUUUUUAAAACAGUGAAAACAGAAGUGCUUAUAUCUUCCUGACUGGGUUUGGUCAGGAGGAUGUUUGUCAAAUCCUGUUGUAAGUAUACUUACCCAAAGGUUCACUUUAGUUCUACUGGGGUACAUAAUAGAACACUUGGAAAUUUAUUGCUGGUAGGAGUGGCCUCAACUUGAACAGCUUAAGUGGUAAAAGGCCUGUUCCGGCAAAAUUUAUAACUUAAUCCUAAAUUCCUGGAGGAGUGCCCAGGGAAAGUUGAUGUUACCCUAAUUUUUAAAGAGAAUCUCACAAGGAGAGAGGAGAGCAAUGAUCUGUUUGCUUAUGACUUACUUCACCCAAUGCCAUCACUGAUCUUUUACUUGUCCAUGUUUGCAGACCACCCAGGCUCAUGGAAUUAUAAAUUGAGCACUUCCACAAGCUCAGCCCCAAGCAGAAGUACCCUUCACACUGGUGUGCUAACCUGUGUGCUAAACACUGGCAAUGAUGGAUUAUUUUAAGGGUUGUCUUUCUGAGGCUCUCGGCAUUGAAAAAUGCUUUCUUUCUGGCACUGCACUUGCCUGUCCUCCUACACGAUGAAGCAAAUGCCUCCAUGACAGAUGGGCCAUGCUGCAGUCCCUAAAAGUCAGCAAACUUGAGGCUUAUUAUACCACAGGAAAAAUACUGUCAAGAGACCUCCAAGGAAGUCAGCACUUCUUGAAAGCCAAAUGGUCAAUAUGAGGUCUAACCUGGCAGACAACUACGUUUUCGUGGAGAUGAGUAGGCUCCUUACAGCCUGGGGCAGUGCUUGUCAGCAUUCCAUUAGAUCUUUCUGAUGAGCUACCAAUUACCAUAGAGGAGCACUUUAAAAUUCUGGGACAUAGGUGAAUGAGAUCAGUUUGGGAUCUGUGAGUGUUUUCAUGAGGUAAGAGGUAGGCCCCCUCUAUUGGAAACAAAAUCCUGCCUGAAGGUAUUUAAGAUGUCCCUGGACUUUGUUCUCUCAGUGACACUCAGAUUUGGGGAGUGAUGGAAUAUAAUUGUGAUCCAGUGACUUUCCUGCAAAAGAAAAAGCAUAAUGCCCCCAUGAUCUAUCCCCUUUCUGGUCUAGUUUCUUCUACCAAAUCUCUUUUUUCACUUGUUUUCAUUUUCUAGAUGUAUUGUCACUCCAAAACAGAAUGGUAGGAAACAGUGAUAAACAUUAAUUUUGUUCAACUCUAAGUCUUGACUUGGGUGUUUCUUCAUUGCACAUGUCAUUAGGUGCGGAGGAUCAAAUUUAAGGUGAAUGGUUCACUCCUAUGUUGGCUCAUUCGUGUGGCACCUGGCCAUCAAAUGAAGCUUAGGUCCUGUCCCUCUUCGCCUAAGCUUCCAUAUCACUUGCACUUGCCUCCUCACAGCAUGAUGACUGCUCCCAAAAAUCAGCAUCCCAUGAAGAAAAUAUUGGGCAGGAGAUGUCCUGCCUUUUAUGACCUAGCCUGGAAGUCACAGUAUCAC